GACGAACGCUGGCGGCGUGCCUAAUACAUGCAAGUCGAACGCAGUGGGGACGGGUGAGUAACACGUGGGUAACCUCCCAUCAGAGGACAUCACCCUUGGAAACAGGUGCUAAACCGAUACUGAUGGAUGGACCCGGGGUGCAUGAGCUAGUUGGUGAGGUAACGGUUCACCAAGGCCACGAUGCAUAGCGGACCGGAGAGGGUGAUCGGCAACACUGGGACUGAGACACGGCCCAGACUCCUACGGGAGGCAGCAGUAGGGAAUCUUCGGAAAUGGACGAAAGUCUUACCGAGCAACGCCGCGUGAGUGAAGAAGGUUUUCGGAUCGUAAAACUCGUUUGUUAGAGAAGCGGUAUCUAACCAGAAAGCAACGGCUAACUACGUGCCAGCAGCCGCGGUAAUAC
rnacentral:rRNA from 1 species